CAAAUUUUGACAUAUUCAACAUUUGAUCAGCUAUGAGUGGGGUCAGAAAUUUUAUAGUUCAACACCAUUCCAUUAGAAACGCGUAAAAUCUAAAUGAAGUGAUGUCUAACCCACAACUCCAGUCACAUUGUUUGUUGUAAGAUGUCUAAGGAAAGAAAACAAAGAACUUCCUUUAUGGCUUUCGGCCUGUUUUUAAUGGUAACACACAGAUAAUAGCGAUUCAUUGAAAACAAUAGGCCAAAAAACGUAAAAAUUUAGGUGGUAAAAGCGAUAAAGGUGUCAUAAUAUAUAACUAAAAUUGGAAGAGGAUAUCCAAGCUUCAGGGACGCUCAAAAGGGUGAAACAGAAUAUUGCCUUUCUCCAACAUAACAAUUGAAUUGAAUAGAAAUCAAUAAUUAAAAAGGGAAACCCCACGUGCUGGGUAUUGUUUGGGGAGAUAUCUGUGGAAUUCCUAAUGAUGACAUAUUAAUGAAUUUCAUCAUUGAACUUAAACCUAAUAUUUUUUAUGGAGGGUUUGCAAAUCGAAUGUAAUUUAAGAAACGGACAAAAGGCCCGAAAUGGUCUAUCAUGAAAUCAAAUUUAAGAGGAUUCGAUAAGUUUAAUAAAGGCUCUUUGUUCCCCUCUGGUCCAGCGUUAUUGGAAAAUCGGUGAUCAGUGAAAUCCAGUCAAGCAUUAUCAACGAUUAUCAGCAUACGCAGUUGACUUAUUCGGUUUUAGACAAUUACUUGCAUACAAAACGAGGUUAAUUAAUUUAC